rnacentral:rRNA from 1 species
AUUGAACGCUGGCGGCAGGCCUAACACAUGCAAGUCGAACGAGUGGCGGACGGGUGAGUAAUGUCUGGGAAACUGCCUGAUGGAGGGGGAUAACUCCUGGAAAAGGUAGCUAAUACCGCGUACCAUCAGAGUUGCCCAGAUGGGGUUAGCUAGUAGGUGGGGUAAAGGCUCACCUAGGCGCCGAUCCCUAGCUGGUCUGAGAGGAGGACCAGCCACACUGGAACUGAGACACGGUCCAGACUCCUACGGGAGGCAGCAGUGGGGAAUAUUGCACAAUGGGCGCAAGCCUGAUGCAGCCAUGCCGCGUGUAUGAAGAAGGCCUUAGGGUUGUAAAGUACUUUCAGCGGGGAGGCGUUACCCGCAGAAGAAGCACCGGCUAACUCCGUGCCAGCAGCCGCGGUAAUUC